UACGUAGGGUGCGAGCGUUAAUCGGAAUUACUGGGCGUAAAGCGUGCGCAGGCGGUUCGUUAAGUCAGAUGUGAAAGCCCCGGGCUCAACCUGGGAACGGCAUUUGAAACUGGCGGGCUGGAGUGUGGCAGAGGGGGGUGGAAUUCCGCGUGUAGCAGUGAAAUGCGUAGAGAUGCGGAGGAACACCGAUGGCGAAGGCAGCCCCCUGGACCAACACUGACGCUCAGGCACGAAAGCGUGGGGAGCAAACAGG
rnacentral:rRNA from 1 species